rnacentral:rRNA from 1 species
UCCCGUUGAUCCUGCGGGAGAUUGCUGCUAUUGGGAUUCGACUAAGCCAUGCAAGUAUUCUAGCAAUAGAUGCGGAAGGCUCAGUAACACGUCGGUAACCUGCCCUAUGGUCAGGGAUAACCUCGCGAAAGUGAGGGUAAACCUUGAUAAGGAACAAGCCCUGGAAUGGGCUCUUUCUGAAACUCGUGCCAUAGGAUGGGCCGGCGGCGGAUUAGGCUGUUGGCGGUGUAAUGGACCACCAAACCUUUGAUCCGUACGGGCCAUGAGAGUGGUAGCCCGGAGAGGGACACUGAGAUACUGGUCCCAGCCCCACGGGGUGCAGCAGGCGCGAAACCUUUACAAUGCACGCAAGUGUGAUAAGGGGAUCCCAAGUGCUCAACACUGUUGGGCUUUUGCCAAGUGUAAAAAGCUUGGCGAAUAAGGGGUGGGUAAGACUGGUGCCAGCCGCCGCGGUAACACCAGCGCCCCAAGUGGCAAUCGCGAUUAUUGGGCCUAAAGCGUCCGUAGCAGGUCUUGUAAAUCCUUUGUGAAAUCGGCAAGCUUAACUUGUCGGCGUGCAGAGGACACUGCAGGACUCGAGACCGGGAGAAGUCAGAAGUAUUUCCUGGGUACCGGUAAAAUGGGUUAAUCCAGGGAGGACUACCAAUGGCGAAGGCAUCUGACUAGAACGGAUCUGACUGUGAGGGACGAAAGCUAGGGGAGCAAAACGGAUUAGAUACCCGAGUAGUCCUAGCCGUAAACGCUGCGAGCAAGGUAUUGCGCACCCCACGAGGAUGCGCAGUGUCGAAGAGAAGUCGUUAAGCUCGCCGCCAGGGAAGUACGGUCGCAAGGCUGAAACUUUAAGGAAUUGGCGGGGGAGCACCACAAGGGGUGCGGCGUGCGGUUCAAUCUAACUCAACGCAGAGAACCUCACUAGGCCCGACGGCAGAAUGAAGGUCAUGCUGAAGACAUUACCUGACAAGCCGAGAGGUAGUGCAUGGCCAUCGUCAGCUCGUGCUGUGAAGUGUCCAGUUAAGUCUGGCAGCGAGCGAGACCUGUACCCUCUAUUGCUAACAACCGUUCCGACGGGAUUGAGCACUUUGAGGGGACUGCCCUGGAAACAGGGAGGAAGGUGCAGGCUACGGUAGGUCUGUAUGCUCCGAAUGGUCUAGGCUACACGCGCGCAACAAUGGUAUGGACAAUGGGAUGCCACUCCGAAAGGAGGAGCUAAACCUCUAAACCAUAUCUUAGUUCAGAUCGAGGCUUGUAACCCAGCCUCGUGACGCUGGAAUCCCUAGUAAUCGGACGUCAUCAUCGUCCGGUGAAUAUGUCCCUGCUCCUUGCACACACCGCCCGUCAAACCAACCGAGCAGGGUUUAGGUAAACCUCAACUUUAUUGGUUGUGUUGAACCUGAGCUCAGUGAGGUGGGUUAAGUCGUCACAAGGUC